CAGUACGUUGAAUUUGGGUGCUGAAUGAAAAGGUGAAAAUAUGUAUUUUCAGUACGUUGAAUUUGGGUGCUGAAUGAAAAGGUGAAAAUACGUAUUUUCAGUACGUUGAAUUUGGGUGCUGAAUGAAAAGGUGAAAAUAUGUAUUUUCAGUACGUUGAAUUUGGGUGCUGAAUGAAAAGGUGAAAAUACGUAUUUUCAGUACGUUGAAUUUGGGUGCUGAAUGAAAAGGUGAAAAUAUGUAUUUUCAGUACGUUGAAUUUGGGUGCUGAAUGAAAAGGUGAAAAUACGUAUUUUCAGUACGUUGAAUUUGGGUGCUGAAUGAAAAGGUGAAAAUACGUAUUUUCAGUACGUUGAAUUUGGGUGCUGAAUGAAAAGGUGAAAAUACGUAUUUUCCGGAUGACAAAAAUACGUAUUUUCAAGACACUGAAAAGUCAUAAUUUACAGAAGUUGAAAAUACAUAUUUUUCGGAAAUGAAUUCUAUGGCCAAAUUUCAAUUGCACAUACAUUCAAUUAAAUAAGCAUUAUAUCACAAUAAUAAUUUUUCAAGCCUCUUGAUAUAAAAAAAAAGUAUUGUUAUUAUUGUUCCCAUCGGUCACAUGCACUUAUGUUAGUUUUUUCAAAAGCUUUGAAACUGGCAGCUAUGAUGUUCAAAGUAGUCCAAAAAACUAAUAUUUCAAACAUCCAGCCUGACAAAAGAUACAUUUUAUGCCUCACCAUUAAGUUAGUUAUUGCCAAUACAUAUUAACAAAGGCGUGUACAUUUGGUUUUGAUAUUUCAUGUUUAAUAUUCAUGUAAGAUUUAGUCAUUAUUACAGAAUAAACCAACAGACCCCUUCAACUAGAAUAACAUUUUUGUUUAUCUACCUUAGUUGAAUGCACUGACUCUAAGUUGCUCUGGAUAAGAGUAUCUGCUGAAUAAACUAAAUGUAAAUGUAAAAACAAACACUUGCAAAGUAUGCUGGGUAUUAUUCGAAUGCACUUGGACCCCAAGCCAGUGCAAAUUUGUUCAGUGCGAUCCAAAUCUGAACAAAUCAUAGACGUCCAGGUUGUUUCACAAGUUUGAAUAUUACAGUAGAGCGUAGUACAGUAUGGUACAGAACAGUGAGGUUUUAUUCUGUAGAGUAGGGUACAGUACACUAUACUUUACUCUAGUGUACUUUACUGUACUGUGUACUGCACUCUGCUGUGCUCUACUGUACUGUGUGUACUGUGCUGUCCAGAGUUGUGAAACAUAGUUGUCUAAGAUUGGUUCAGAUUUUGUCUGAACCAGACCAAAUCUGAACCAAUUAUAGACGUCUAUGUUUGGGCCAAAUCAUGAACGGUCCGGACAAAAUUUGAAUCAAUUAUAGACUUCUAUGUUUGGGCCAAAUAUAGGCCGGACCGGACGUCUGUGGACAUUGAACUCAAGGCCAGUCCAAACCGGACAAAAUCUAAACCAAACAUCGAAGUCUAUGAUUGGUCUGGACCAAAAAAUUACGUCCUUGGACGUUGAAAUCAAGGCUGGUCCAGACUGCACCAAAAACGUUGGUAUAAGAUGUCAUGAAAAAUAUGCCUCUAUCACUACUUAUGCCCCCUUGGGUUCUUUCCUGGCAGGGCUUAUAUUCUGAAGUGACAAGUUUCCAAUGAGAUAGUUAAUAGUCUUGUAAACAUGAUCUAAAUGCAUAUGUUAUCUCACCAUGGAAACUCAUAUCUGAUUUUUUUUGUUCAUGGGCCUAUACAAAUAUUACAUUUUUUCUCCUUUUUGUCAUUGUUUGUAAUGUGGAGCCUAUAAGGAAAGCAUUUAUUUAAUUUAAAGCAUUUAUUUUAUCUUCAUUGUCAAAUCAUGCACUACAGAUUCUUAUUCGAUUUUUCUUUCACACAUUAUCAACUUGUGCAUAGAAGAUACAAAUCAAAAUGUAUUUUUCUUUUCCAUACGAGAACCACUCCAUAUACGAAAAUAAUAGUUCAGAUGUGGGGUAUAUCACAAAAACUUAAACUGAAAAAGAUGCAUCCAUGAACAAAUGACUGUCUUUACCGGCGGCUGCUUACCCGACCA